rfam:Microbacterium oxydans strain BEL4b RS83_contig000021, whole genome shotgun sequence.
GCGCGAGUGGCGGAAUGGUAGACGCGCUGGCUUCAGGUGCCAGUAUUCGCAAGGAUGUGGGGGUUCGAGUCCCCCCUCGCGCA